GGGACGACCAGAAACGAAGAUGACGAGCAACGGCGACGACGAGCAACGACGACGAGCAACGACCACCGACGACGACCGAAGCUAAACCGUAAGAAAAUGAAUCAGUACUCUCUUCGAUUUUAGGUUUUACACCGACGACGGUUCUAGUACUGUUUUUGCCUUUUGGUUUCUGGUUGUUUGUAGCAAAUUUUGACCAGAAACUGCAAUGCAGUUUCUGGUUCCAUAAUUUAAUUUUAGAGUGCUUUUUGCUAGGAUUUAUGGGAAUGUUAUAACUGCUCAUGAAGUUAAAUGUGUUUUGAU
rnacentral:lncRNA from 1 species